GGACCAAGGAGUCUAGCGCGCGCGCGAGUCACCGGGAACCGAUAAACCCGCAGGCGCAAUGAAAGUGAAGGUCGGCCUCGAGCUGACCGAGGGAGGAUCGGCCGCGUCUCUUGUCAAAAAGCGCGGCCGCGCACUCCCGGGGCGUCUCGCACUCAUCGCGAGGCGAGGCGCACCACGAGCGCGCGCGCCGGGACCCGAAAGAUGGUGAACUAUGCCUGGUCAGGACGAAGUCAGGGGAAACCCUGAUGGAGGUCCGUAGCGAUUCUGACGUGCAAAUCGAUCGUCGGAACUGGGUAUAGGGGCGAAAGACUAAUCGAACCAUCUAGUAGCUGGUUCCCUCCGAAGUUUCCCUCAGGAUAGCUGGCGCUCGCUCGGAAACGACUUCACGAGUCUCAUCCGGUAAAGCGAAUGAUUAGAGGCAUUGGGGUCGAAACGGCCUCAACCUAUUCUCAAACUUUAAAUGGGUGAGAUCUCCGGCUUGCUUGAAACGUGAAGCCGGAGGUCGGAUCAACGGGUGCCAAGUGGGCCACUUUUGGUAAGCAGAACUGGCGCUGUGGGAUGAACCAAACGUCGAGUUAAAGCGCCUAAAUCGACGCUUAUGGGACACCAUGAAAGGCGUUGGUAACUUAAGACAGCAGGACGGUGGCCAUGGAAGUCGGA
rnacentral:rRNA from 1 species